rnacentral:rRNA from 1 species
GUUCGGAAUGACUGGGCGUAAAGCGCGCGCAGGCGGCUCUUCAAGUCAGGGGUGAAAGCCCAGAGCUCAACUCUGGAACUGCCUUUGAGACUGAAGAGCUUGAGUACGGGAGAGGUGAGUGGAAUUCCCAGUGUAGAGGUGAAAUUCGUAGAUAUUGGGAAGAACACCGGUGGCGAAGGCGGCUCACUGGCCCGUUACUGACGCUCAGGCGCGACAGCGUGGGGAUCAAACAGG